ACGGGAGGCAGCAGUGAGGAAUAUUGGUCAAUGGGCGAGAGCCUGAACCAGCCAAGUAGCGUGAAGGAUGACUGCCCUAUGGGUUGUAAACUUCUUUUGUUCGGGAAUAAAGGAGCCUACGCGUAGGCUUUUGCAUGUACCGUUCGAAUAAGCAUCGGCUAAUUCCGUGCCAGCAGCCGCGGUAAUACGGAAGAUGCGAGCGUUAUCCGGAUUUAUUGGGUUUAAAGGGAGCGUAGGCCGUGCUUUAAGCGUGUUGUGAAAUGUAGGCGCCCAACGUCUGCACUGCAGCGCGAACUGGAGCACUUGAGUACGCAGGAAGUAGGCGGAAUUCGUCGUGUAGCGGUGAAAUGCUUAGAUAUGACGAAGAACUCCGAUUGGGAAGCCAGCUUACUGUAGCGCCACUGACGCUGAUGCUCGAAAGCGUGGGUAUCGAACAGGAUUAGAUACCCUGGUA
rnacentral:rRNA from 1 species